CCUACGGGUGGCAGCAGUGAGGAAUAUUGGUCAAUGGACGAGAGUCUGAACCAGCCAAGUAGCGUGAAGGAUGACUGCCCUAUGGGUUGUAAACUUCUUUUAUAUGGGAAUAAAAUGUUCCACGUGUGGGAUUUUGUAUGUACCAUAUGAAUAAGGCUCGGCUAACUCCGUGCCAGCAGCCGCGGUAAUACGGAGGACCCGAGCGUUAUCCGGAUUUAUUGGGUUUAAAGGGAGCGUAGGUGGAUUGUUAAGUCAGUUGUGAAAGUUUGCGGCUCAACCGUAAAAUUGCAGUUGAAACUGGCAGUCUUGAGUACAGUAGAGGUGGGCGGAAGUCGUGGUGUAGCGGUGAAAUGCUUAGAUAUCACGAAGAACUCCGAUUGCGAAGGCAGUUCACUGGACUGCAACUGACACUGAGGCUCGAAAGUGUGGGUAUCAAACAGGAUUAGAUACCCCUGUAGUC
rnacentral:rRNA from 1 species